UUUAACCCUAAUCAACGAGACUUACACACCUACUCAACAAAGGAGGGGUAAAGCAACAUGAAAGUUCAAAAAUAAUGAAAGUGAGAUUAUUUAGUAAUAUGUGUGAACUGUUUUACAAUAAUCACUAAAAUAUAUUGUCGAUUACUUAUCAGCUUAGUAAUUAGUCUAUGCAUCAUCCAUCGAUCGAACAACUAGACAACUAACAAGUAUUUAAAAUAUAAACAACAUUAUUCAUGUAUUUUUUCUGAGUCUAUUGACUUGUAAG
rnacentral:lncRNA from 1 species